rnacentral:rRNA from 1 species
UCCGUAGGUGGAUAAUUAAGUCAGAGGUGAAAUCCUGCAGCUCAACUGUAGAAUUGCCUUUGAUACUGGUUAUCUUGAGUCAUUAUGAAGUGGUUAGAAUGUGUAGUGUAGCGGUGAAAUGCAUAGAUAUUACACAGAAUACCGAUUGCGAAGGCAGAUCACUAAUAAUGUGCUGACACUGAGGGACGAAAGCGUGGGGAGCGAACAGGAUUAGAUACCCUGGUAGUCC